rnacentral:tRNA from 1 species
GCCCUGAUAGUGUAGUGGCCUAUAUUUUUAGAUUACAUUCAUUAAUGGCAAAUCAUCCGGCCCUGUCGAGGCCGGGACCCGGGUUCGACUCCCGGUCAGGGCG